GGCGUUUAUGUCAUCUAUCAUUGAGGACAUUUUGAGAAGCAAGUAAGAAUUUGAGCUCACAAGAAACCACCAAUACUCUAAGAAAGCAACUUCCCGCACCUUCCAGAUUUCUUGUUCUCUAGGGUAUAAAGGAGAUACAAAAAGGAUCAUUUUUACAAAAGAAGCUAGAGAAAAGAAGACCUCCAAUGUCAGCUAAUAAAGAUUUUCCUGUAUAUGGCAACUGUCAGGUCAUUCUCAUUUUCAGAGCACACUCUCUUCUGAUAUUUUUGGAUGAUUGUCUUGUCCAUCAUUCCACAUGUUAGGCUCUUUCUUGAUGUGCAUGCUUGGUUUUUCCAACACAGUCCACCUUCCCCCAUGUGCCCCACUUUGAAGAGGGAGAGAAGCAGAGGUCUCCAUGCCACAGAAUUUCAGACUCCAGUCCUAGACAGCACAACUGAAGACAUUCUGCAUUUCACAACAGUUGAAAGCACCUAGCAUCCAAUCCAAGAUGUGGGGCUGCCGUUGAACCAGAAGACACGCAGAUGCCCUAGCCCUGGAACAGCCUUGGAACCCUCUUCAGUAUGCGGUCAUGGACAAUUCUGAGAAUCUAAUGAGAGUUUUGGGUCCUCCACAUUUCCCCAGCCCAUAUAGAAUUUUCCCUGGAUCUUUACUCUUGGUUCUCCCACAUAAAGACUUGAAGGCCUGAAGAGAUUGAGAAGCUGACCUUAGAAGCCACGUCUGUGAUGAAAAAGGAGGAAGGUGACCUUUGCCCAUUUUCAGGAUCUCACUCAAGCCCUGCCCUGGAGUACCACCCACGGGCUUACCAACCCUACAACCAUUUGAUGGCGUAUCAUGUGGAAACUGUGA